CACGCCGUAAACGAUGAGUGCUAGGUGUCGGGGGGGAACCCUCGGUGCCGCAGCUAACGCAAUAAGCACUCCACCUGGGGAGUACGAUCGCAAGAUUGAAACUCAAAGGAAUUGACGGGGGCCCGCACAAGCGGUGGAGCAUGUGGUUUAAUUCGAAGCAACGCGAAGAACCUUACCAAGGCUUGACAUCCCUCUGACCGGUGUAGAGAUACACCUUCUCUUCGGAGCAGAGGUGACAGGUGG
rnacentral:rRNA from 1 species